GAUGAACGCUAGCGGCAGGCCUAAUACAUGCAAGUCGAACGGUGUCUUCGGACAUAGUGGCGCACGGGUGCGUAACACGUAUGCAACCUACCUUACAUUGGGGGAUAGCCUUUCGAAAGGGAGAUUAAUACCGCAUAAGACAGUAGCUGGGCAUCCAGCAGCUGUUAAAGAUUUAUCGAUGUAAGCUGGGCAUGCGUCCAAUUAGCUAGUUGGUGAGGUAACGGCUCACCAAGGCAAUGAUUGGUAGGGGAACUGAGAGGUCAAUCCCCCACACUGACACUGAGAUAAGGGCCAGACUCCUACGGGAGGCAGCAGUAGUGAAUAUUGGGCAAUGGACGCAAGUCUGACCCAGCCAUGCCGCGUGCAGGAUGAAGGCGUUAUGCGUUGUAAACUGCUUUUAUACAGGAAGAAACGACUCUUGCGAGAGGCAUUGACGGUACUGUAUGAAUAAGCACCGGCUAACUCCGUGCCAGCCGCCGCCGUAACAC
rnacentral:rRNA from 1 species